GACGAAGGGGGCUAGCGUUGUUCGGAAUUACUGGGCGUAAAGCGCGUGUAGGCGGCUGUCCAAGUUGGAUGUGAAAGCCUUGAGCUUAACUCAAGAAAUGCAUUCAGGACUGGAUGACUAGAGGACCGGAGAGGAUAGUGGAAUUCCCAGUGUAGUGGUGAAAUACGUAGAGAUUGGGAAGAACACCAGUGGCGAAGGCGGCUAUCUGGACGGUUUCUGACGCUAAGACGCGAAAGCGUGGGGAGCAAACAGG
rnacentral:rRNA from 1 species